rnacentral:rRNA from 1 species
AUACGGGGGGUGCAAGCGUUAAUCGGAAUUACUGGGCGUAAAGCGCGCGUAGGCGGUUUGCUCAGUCGGAUGUGAAGGCCCAGGGCUCAACCUUGGAACUGCAUACGAUACUGGCAAACUAGAGUGUGAGAGAGGAUAGUGGAAUUUCCGGUGUAGCGGUGAAAUGCGUAGAUAUCGGAAGGAACAUCAGUGGCGAAGGCGACUGUCUGGCUCAACACUGACGCUGAGGUGCGAAAGCGUGGGUAGCAAACAGGAUUAGAAACCCCAGUAGUCC